rnacentral:lncRNA from 1 species
UAUGCCAAACAAAUUCUCCACCCACUCCUUACUUAAGAUUAGACAUUUUCUUACAACUGAAUUGCACAUUGGUGGCUACCAAACAAUUGGUUCAAGACAUUUUCCUUCUAGCAAAAGCCACAAUCAUUUGAAAACUCCAUCACUACCAUAUAUACUCGUAUCGCAAGGAGCGAAUGUUCCAUUUCAGAAUUCCAUCGCGCCAUUGCCCGUCGCCUAAGAGGAACAUGUGCGCUCGGUCCUUAUAUUCAUCUAGAGAAAAAGGAAACCUUCAUGGAGAAAAGAAAACUGAGUUUAGAAAUAAAGAAAAAGAAAUCUACUCAAUCAGUAAAGAGCAUUAAGUAACCAAUGGAUUACCUCCAUAGAAUGAAAAAAAACAAAAUUAUACAUUCGGAAAAUCUCAAAUUUAGGCCAGGUUCUAAUUUGGAAGUUCAGUACCUUAUAAUCAGGAACCCUGAUAUUAGGUGACACAAGGAGAAUGUUCUCUGUCUUGAGAUCCGCAUGAAUAAGCUGCAGGUCAGGCAUAGCUGCAGGGGUAAGAAAAUAGAAUUGUUAUAUAUAGGUACAAAAGAAGAAAAAUGAAUAGGUGCUUACAACUGCCAGGUACAGACAGAAGGAAACAAUUUAGCACACUACGAAAAAGGGUUUCCCCCCGCUUUAUAUUAUAAAGCAACAGCUGAGCAUACAACCAUGAAUACCACAAAAAGAAAGAAGAAGAAGAAGAAGAAGAAGAAGAAAGAAGGCGACAGAGGAUACAAGAUGCAACCGGACAACAACAGUCCUGACAACCCUAGAAGCUAGGACAUCGAGGACCCCGGCAACUCCAGGACAUGCCCACGAUACGCUCACGCUAAUGGAGCGGCUGCCGCCGGAGGAGGAGCACAACCGUCGACUCCCAUACCGUUGCCCGGCCAUCCAAGAGCUCGCUGGAUCCCGGAUGGACUGGGAGAGGAUGGCAACACGCUACCACGCCGGCAAAGCUACUCCGAUCAACGCCACCGCCUCGGGCCACACCACGAAGAACACCGAACAUUGUCGAGCAGGACCAACAGACCGACCACGCCAAAGCCACGACCACCACUCACCCAUCCCAAAGGCGGCGUCUUCAAGAAGAAAGCGACGCCAAGACGCCAUCGCCGCCCAAUCCAAGGGGAUUUGGGUUUUCACCCGGGACAAGGAGAGGGGGAGCAUGGGCUAGGACUCGAUGCUGACUCCAAGAAGUAGAACGGCGAUGGAGUGCCGCCGGCAUCGUGGCUGCCGCAGCCCGCCAAGGGUUUCCCCCAUCCGUAGCCCACUCCGACCAACCACCAACCAGCCACACGAGGUCGCCGUCAACCGAGUCGGCGUGGGUGACCAGAGAACAUCGAGGUCGCCGUCUUCGAAUCCAGAUCCAUGCUCACCGCCGACUCGCCGCCCGCACGGCUAAGUCCAGUGACCGGAAACAUCAGCAACACCUCCCCCCGUCGUCAGGGAGGGGCGCCCUCACCGGAGGAGGCCGCCGCCACCACACCAGCGCCACCCAAACUGGAGGCCCCACCACCACGCCACCUACCCCGCCAGCCGCCGGCCACGGCAGGGCAGGUCGCCCGUGAUCCAGGCCGCACGCAGCCCCC